AGCCAAUGAUGUUUUAAGAGUAGUGGACAGAAAAUAUUUCUGACAAUUGUGCGCUGAGGCU
ensembl:snoRNA small nucleolar RNA SNORD75